UACGUAGGGUGCGAGCGUUGUCCGGAAUUAUUGGGCGUAAAGGGCUCGUAGGCGGUUUGUCGCGUCGGGAGUGAAAUCAUCUGGCUUAACUGGGUGCUUGCUUUCGAUACGGGCAGACUAGAGGUAUGCAGGGGAGAACGGAAUUCCUGGUGUAGCGGCGAAAUGCGCAGAUAUCAGGAGGAACACCGGUGGUGUAGACGGCUUUCUGGACCGUAACUGACGCUGAGAGACGAAAGCUAGGGGAGCAAAUGGG
rnacentral:rRNA from 1 species